UCCGUUUGGUUCGGGGGUUUUGAUGGGGAGGGGAGGGAAGGGGAGGGAAUAUUUUAAAUUUGUUGUGUUUGGUUCAAUUUUUAGAAGGGGAGGGGAGGGAGAGGAAGGGGAGCAAAAUCCCUUAUAAGUUCAUUUAUUGCUCCCCCUCAAAUUGGAGUUUUUUGGAGGGGAGGGGAGGGAAAGAUAAAUGAUUUAAUGCAAUUUUAAUUAUAUUGACAUAAUUAUCCUCAUA
rnacentral:lncRNA from 1 species